rnacentral:rRNA from 1 species
CCUACGGGGGGCAGCAGUGGGGAAUAUUGGGCAAUGGGCGCAAGCCUGACCCAGCAACGCCGCGUGAAGGAAGAAGGCUCUCGGGUUGUAAACUUCUUUUCUGAGGGACGAAGAAAGUGACGGUACCUCAGGAAUAAGCCACGGCUAACUACGUGCCAGCAGCCGCGGUAAUCCGUAGGUGGCAAGCGUUAUCCGGAUUUAUUGGGUGUACAGGGCGUGUAGGCGGGAAAGCAAGUCAGAUGUGAAAACUCAGGGCCCAACCCUGGGCCUGCAUUUGAAACUGUUUGUCUUGAGUGCUGGAGAGGCAAGCGGAAUUCGGGGUGUAGCGGUGAAAUGCGUAGAUAUCCGGAGGAACACCAGUGGCGAAGGCGGAUUGCUGGACCGUAACUGACGCUGAGGCGCGAAAGCGUGGGUAGCAAACAGGAUUAGAUACCCGAGUAGUC